GAUGAACGCUAGCGGCAGGCUUAACACAUGCAAGUCGAGGGGCAGCGGGAUGUAGCAAUACAUUGCCGGCGACCGGCGCAAGGGUGCGUAACGCGUGAGCAACAUGCCCGUCACAGGAGGAUAAACCAUGGAAACGUGGCCUAAUACUCCAUAGUAUAUCAGAGAGGCAUCUUUUUGAUAUUAAAGCUUCGGUGGUGACGGAUUGGCUCGCGUGACAUUAGCUAGAUGGAGAGGUAACGGCUCACCAUGGCGACGAUGUCUAGGGGAACUGAGAGGUUAAUCCCCCACACUGGUACUGAGACACGGACCAG
rnacentral:rRNA from 1 species